CAAUAGCGUAUAUUAAAGUUGUUGCGGUUAAAAAGCUCGUAGUUGGAUUUCUGCCGAGGACGACCGGUCCGCCCUCUGGGUGAGUAUCUGGCUCGGCCUGGGCAUCUUCUUGGAGAACGUAGCUGCACUUGACUGUGUGGUGCGGUAUCCAGGACUUUUACUUUGAGGAAAUUAGAGUGUUUCAAGCAGGCUUACGCCUUGAAUACAUUAGCAUGGAAUAAUAAGAUAGGACCUCGGUUCUAUUUUGUUGGUUUCUAGAGCUGAGGUAAUGAUUAAUAGGGAUAGUUGGGGGCAUUCGUAUUUAACUGUCAGAGGUGAAAUUCUUGGAUUCGUUAAAGACGGACUACUGCGAAAGCAUUUGCCAAGGAUGUUUUCAUUGA
rnacentral:rRNA from 1 species